UCCUCGAUGGUGUAUCGGUAACAUAUGAGCUUCUCAUCGGAAUAUUAUUGAACAGUUGAAUCGCUCGAGCGCGGGGUUCGAUUCCCCGUCGGGGAA